GACGAACGCUGGCGGCGUGCCUAAUACAUGCAAGUCGAACGCUGAAGGAGGAGCUUGCUUCUCUGGAUGAGUUGCGAACGGGUGAGUAACGCGUAGGUAACCUGCCUGGUAGCGGGGGAUAACUAUUGGAAACGAUAGCUAAUACCGCAUAAUAGCAGUUGUUGCAUGAUAACUGUUUGAAAGGUGCAAUUGCACCACUACCAGAUGGACCUGCGUUGUAUUAGCUAGUUGGUGGGGUAACGGCUCCCCAAGGCGACGAUACAUAGCCGACCUGAGAGGGUGAUCGGCCACACUGGGACUGAGACACGGCCCAGACUCCUACGGGAGGCAGCAGUAGGGAAUCUUCGGCAAUGGACGGAAGUCUGACCGAGCAACGCCGCGUGAGUGAAGAAGGUUUUCGGAUCGUAAAGCUCUGUUGUAAGAGAAGAACGAGUGUGAGAGUGGAAAGUUCACACUGUGACGGUAGCUUACCAGAAAGGGACGGCUAACUACGUG
rnacentral:rRNA from 1 species